CAUCGGUCCCCCCGCAUUGAUUACCCGUUAACCCUGGUCAGGCCCGGAAGGGAGCAGCCAUAGCGGGAACAUCGAGUGCCGGGGUGUGGCUGGUGGGG
rnacentral:SRP_RNA from 1 species